rnacentral:rRNA from 1 species
CCUACGGGCGGCUGCAGUGGGGAAUAUUGCACAAUGGGCGCAAGCCUGAUGCAGCCAUGCCGCGUGUGUGAAGAAGGCCUUCGGGUUGUAAAGCACUUUCAGCGGGGAGGAAGGCGGUGAGGUUAAUAACCUCAUCGAUUGACGUUACCCGCAGAAGAAGCACCGGCUAACUCCGUGCCAGCAGCCGCGGUAAUACGGAGGGUGCAAGCGUUAAUCGGAAUUACUGGGCGUAAAGCGCACGCAGGCGGUCUGUCAAGUCGGAUGUGAAAUCCCCGGGCUCAACCUGGGAACUGCAUUCGAAACUGGCAGGCUAGAGUCUUGUAGGGGGGGGUAGAAUUCCAGGUGUAGCGGUGAAAUGCGUAGAGAUCUGGAGGAAUACCGGUGGCGAAGGCGGCCCCCUGGACAAAGACUGACGCUCAGGUGCGAAAGCGUGGGGAGCAAACAGGAUUAGAUACCCUAGUAGUC